CAGGGCUGGUGGUGCUAAGAGGACAAGGAGGGGGGUCUUAGGGGACUGUGAGGCAGGGCUGGAUGUUGGGGAGAGUAAGGGGCUAGGAAAACCAUAGAGGCUGGAGAAGCCCUCAGGGGAGAUGAGAGGGGAGAAGACGGAGCAGGAAGAGGAGGGGAGGGGCCAGACAUUAGUGGCAGUGUGCCUGGAGUCCCUGUGGGGUGGCAUUUAGCCCCAGGGGUCCUGAGCCUGGGGUGGAUGCUACACUCUCCAUAGCCUUGGCAGUGCCUCAUCAUGGGAUUCUCUGGGUCUGAGGUUGCCCUUGUGCACACUGGCAAGUACCAGGCCUUGGUUUCUCCAGUCUGGGAAACGGAGGGGUAAGAAGGGAACUUACUCGUACAACCCACACAAACAUGGGGCUGUUUCCAAAGUAAGAAUAGAAUUGUUGAAGUCAAGGCAGUCCCAAAAACUCAGCCCCAUGCCCCCCUCCCCUGUUGGAUGCAGGAGAAGUGGUAUGGGGCGAGCCAGCUGCCCA
rnacentral:lncRNA from 10 species